UACGGGGGGGGCAAGCGUUGUUCGGAAUUACUGGGCGUAAAGGGCUCGUAGGUGGCCAACUAAGUCAGACGUGAAAUCCCUCGGCUUAACCGGGGAACUGCGUCUGAUACUGGAUGGCUUGAGUUUGGGAGAGGGAUGCGGAAUUCCAGGUGUAGCGGUGAAAUGCGUAGAUAUCAGGAGGAACACCAAUGGCGAAGGCAGCUCGCUGGGACGUGACAGACGCUGAGACGCGAAAGCGUGGGGAGCAAACAGG
rnacentral:rRNA from 1 species